rnacentral:rRNA from 1 species
UGAGGAAUAUUGGUCAAUGGGGGCAACCCUGAACCAGCCAAGUCGCGUGAAGGAUGAAGGUCUUAUGGAUUGUAAACUUCUUUUAUACAGGAAUAAAUUGGGGGACGUGUCCCCUUUUGCAUGUACUGUAUGAAUAAGGAUCGGCUAACUCCGUGCCAGCAGCCGCGGUAAUACGGAGGAUCCGAGCGUUAUCCGGAUUUAUUGGGUUUAAAGGGUGCGCAGGCGGGAUGUUAAGUCGGCGGUGAAAUUUUGCAGCUCAACUGUAAAAGUGCCUUCGAUACUGGCUUCCUUGAGUGUGGAUGAAGUAGGCGGAAUUUGUGGUGUAGCGGUGAAAUGCUUAGAUAUCACGAGGAACUCCGAUUGCGCAGGCAGCUUACUAAACUACAACUGACGCUCAUGCACGAAGGCGUGGGGAUCAAACA